UACGUAGGGUGCAAGCGUUGUCCGGAAUUAUUGGGCGUAAAGAGCUCGUAGGCGGUCUGUCGCGUCGGAUGUGAAAACCCAGGGCUCAACCCUGGGCCUGCAUUCGAUACGGGCAGACUAGAGUUCGGUAGGGGAGACGUGGAAUUCCUGGUGUAGCGGUGAAAUGCGCAGAUAUCAGGAGGAACACCGGUGGCGAAGGCGGGUCUCUGGGCCGAAACUGACGCUGAGGAGCGAAAGCGUGGGGAGCAAACAGG
rnacentral:rRNA from 1 species